rnacentral:rRNA from 1 species
UACGUAGGGGGCAAGCGUUGUCCGGAAUCAUUGGGCGUAAAGAGCGCGUAGGCGGCCCGGUAAGUCCGCUGUGAAAGUCAAAGGCUCAACCUUUGAAUGUCAGCGGAUACUGCCGGGCUAGAGUCCGGAAGAGGCGAGUGGAACUCCUGGUGUAGCGGUGGAAUGCGCAGAUAUCAGGAAGAACACCAACGGCGAAGGCAGCUCGCUGGGACGGAACUGACGCUGAGGCGCGAAGGCCAGGGGAGCAAACGGG